rnacentral:rRNA from 1 species
UACGGAGGGUGCAAGCGUUAUCCGGAUUCACUGGGUUUAAAGGGUGCGCAGGCGGAUAUGUAAGUCAGUGGUGAAAUCUUCCCGCUUAACGGGAAAACUGCCAUUGAUACUAUAUAUCUUGAAUGCUGUGGAGGUAAGCAGAAUAUGUCAUGUAGCGGUGAAAUGCUUAGAGAUGACAUAGAAUACCUAUUGCGAAGGCAGCUUACUACGCAGAUAUUGACGCUCAUGCACGAAAGCGUGGGGAUCAAACAGG